GACGAACGCUGGCGGCGUGCUUAUCACAUGCAAGUCGAACGGAAAGGCCCUGCUUUUGUGGGGUGCUCGAGUGGCGAACGGGUGAGUAACACGUGAGUAACCUGCCCUUGACUUUGGGAUAACUUCAGGAAACUGGGGCUAAUACCGGAUAGGAGCUCCUGCUGCAUGGUGGGGGUUGGAAAGUUUCGGCGGUUGGGGAUGGACUCGCGGCUUAUCAGCUUGUUGGUGGGGUAGUGGCUUACCAAGGCUUUGACGGGUAGCCGGCCUGAGAGGGUGACCGGCCACAUUGGGACUGAGAUACGGCCCAGACGCCUACGGGAGGCAGCAGUGGGGAAUAUUGCACAAUGGGCGGAAGCCUGAUGCAGCAACGCCGCGUGCGGGAUGACGGCCUUCGGGUUGUAAACCGCUUUCGCCUGUGACGAAGCGUGAGUGACGGUAAUGGGUAAAGAAGCACCGGCUAACUACGUG
rnacentral:rRNA from 1 species